ACCUCGGUGGCGCAAUUGGCUAGCGCGUUUGACUCUAACCGUGCUGUUGCGGGUUCGAUCCCGUCUGGGGUG